ensembl:lncRNA
GUUGUAAUAUAUUUUGAAUUCUGUGUAGAUUACAUCGUGUUCACCACCCGAAACUAAUGAUAGUCCGUCACCUCACAUGUGAGCCUCAUCGCCCCUUUGGCUCUCUCCCCUCCCCCCUCCCCCUAUGGUAACCACCAAUGCAAUCUCCUUUGCUCUGUGCGCGUUUGUCGUUGUUUUUAUCUUCUCCUUAUGAGUGAGAUCACACGGUGUUUGACUUUGUCCCUCUGAUUUAUUUCACUUCACAUAAUACCCUCAAGGUCCAUCGAAGUUGUCACAAAUGGGCGGAUCUCAUCAUUUCUUAGGGCCGAGUGGCAUUCCAUUGUGUAUACAUACCACAUCUUCUUUAUCCAUUCUUCCCUUGAUGGGCACCUAGGUUGCUUCCAAGUUUUGGCUGUUGUGAAUAAUGCUGCAGUGAACCCAGGGGUGCAUGUGUCUUUCUGCAUUGGUGUUUUCAAGUUCUUUGGAUGAAUAGCCAGCAGUGGGCUAGCUGGAUCCUACAUAUGGUAGAUGUGUUCUUAGUUUUCUGAGGAUACUCCAUACUGCUUUCCAUAGUGGCUGCACCAGUCUGCCCUCCCACCAGCAGUGCAGGAGAGUUCCCUUCUCUGCACAUCCUCUCCGACACUUGUCUCUUGUCUUGUUAAUUAGAGCCAUUCUGACCAGAGUAAGGUGACAUCUCCUUGUAGUUGUGAUUUGCAUUUCUCUGAUCGCUAAGGAUGUUGAGUCCCUUUCCAUAUGCCUGUUGGCCAUCCGUAUACCUUCUUUGGAGAAAUCACUGCUCAGAUCUUUUGCCCGCCUUUUCAAUUGGGUUGUUGAUUUUUUUUGCUGUUGAGAUGUAUGAGUUCUUUCUGUGUUUUGGAUAUUAACCCCUUAUCCGAUAUACGGUUUGCAAGAAUCUUCUCCCAGUUGUUAGGUUGUGUUUUGGUUUUGUGGAUGGUUUCCUUUGCGGUGCAGAGGAUGUUUUUUGACUUUGAUGUAGUCCCGUUUGUUCAUUUUGUAUUUUGUUUCCCUUGCCCAGUCAGACGUGGUACUUGAAAAUAGGCUGCUAAGACUGAUGUCAAAGAGCACACUGCCUAUGUUUGCUUGUAGACGUUGCAUGGUUUCGGGUCUGACAUUCAAGUGAAAGCCGAGGGAGGAGGCUGCAGUUCCCCGAGAGCGAGCGUAGCGGGGACCCUGCGUCCCUGUCAGCGCACCUUCCCGCUGCGCGAAGGUCCGAAGCGUGUGGGCGGGGCCGCAGGAGUUCUCCCAGGAGGGUGUCCCCGUCGCUGUCCGCAGUCCACCGCCGAGGGGGGGGCGGGGCAACGGCCGGGCAGCGUCUGGGCGGCGGCGCGCGCGCGCGAGGAGAGGAGAGGAGAGGAGCGCGCGGCUGCUGGGCCGCCGUCCUGGGAGGCGUGGGAGGCGUCGGCGAGCCGCGCCUGCCUGCCCAGAGCCGAGCCCGGCGGAGUCCGGCCGCGCUGUGCUGCUCUCUCCCGGGCCGGGCUCGUCCGUUCCCCCGGCGUCCGUGGACGCCGCUCCGCGUCCCCGCUGGGCACAGCAGCCCGGGCCCUCCACAGCCACGGCCGCUAGCCUGAGGAGGCCGUCCUUCAGCUCCCGCUCUUCCUGCUCGCCGGACACGGAGGACCAGGGCGCCUGCGAAGAGGAUUCCAUCUGAGAGAGACGUUGCAUGGUUUCGGGUCUGACAUUCAAGUGAAAGCCGAGGGAGGAGGCUGCAGUUCCCCGAGAGCGAGCGUAGCGGGGACCCUGCGUCCCUGUCAGCGCACCUUCCCGCUGCGCGAAGGUCCGAAGCGUGUGGGCGGGGCCGCAGGAGUUCUCCCAGGAGGGUGUCCCCGUCGCUGUCCGCAGUCCACCGCCGGAGGGGGGGGCGGGGCAACGGCCGGGCAGCGUCUGGGCGGCGGCGCGCGCGCGCGAGGAGAGGAGAGGAGAGGAGCGCGCGGCUGCUGGGCCGCCGUCCUGGGAGGCGUGGGAGGCGUCGGCGAGCCGCGCCUGCCUGCCCAGAGCCGAGCCCGGCGGAGUCCGGCCGCGCUGUGCUGCUCUCUCCCGGGCCGGGCUCGUCCGUUCCCCCGGCGUCCGUGGACGCCGCUCCGCGUCCCCGCUGGGCACAGCAGCCCGGGCCCUCCACAGCCACGGCCGCUAGCCUGAGGAGGCCGUCCUUCAGCUCCCGCUCUUCCUGCUCGCCGGACACGGAGGACCAGGGCGCCUGCGAAGAGGAUUCCAUCUGAGAGAGGUACCUGGGGGGCGUGGGCCUGGGGGCUGGUGGGAGGCGAGCGUGUCCCGAGGAAUAGGCUUGUGCGCCGAGAGGUGCCCGUCAGGUCGCGGGACAGCUGUGCGGCGCGGGGAGCGAGGGGGUCUCUUCGUGCGCUUGAGGCGUUCGUGGAACGGGCGGUGUGUGCCGGGCACGGGGCCAGCCUGGGCGUGCGGUGCCCGGGAGUCGGGCGCUGAAGCGCCACCCGUGGUCUCGGCUUCUUGGAAGGACAGACGCGAAGUCGAUAAGGACACUGGUCUCGAGGCGUUCUGAGGAGUGCGGGUCUCCCUCUUUUCGAGGCUACGUUCCGUUGGGGUUUUCACGAAGCCUGUUGUGGGCCUGAAGCUCAGGCCGGUUCAGGGGAAGUGGCCUGUCGAGGGCCACGUAAUAUUUGUGUGCAGAGGCCAGUGCUUUCCAAAGCCCUUGACUGUGCAGAAGUCUACCUGUUAGGGGUGCAGUGGGGGCUGUCCGGGGAGCGUUGUGAGCACAGGUAUGUGCCCCACACUUGAAAGUCUGGAAAGAAAGCCGUGAGGCUGGAGGGUGCUCCGUUCGUUCCCUCCUUGCACAGAAAGUCUGGAGAGUUGACUUUGGGACAAGUCCUUCCUUUCCUCUGGUCGGUGCGUGUUCGGUGGCCUGGACACUUGGUGAGCAAGACUGACAGGGUGUUUGACGUACUGGACCUCACAGCCUGGUUGGAAAGGACAGACAGGCAGCAACCAAUUACCUAGGAGAUACGUAAAGGCACUUUCGUGUUGAGUGUUGAGAAAUACGGCAUUUUACUGUUAGACUUUGUGACUUAGGCAGUGAUGUUGAAGCUGAGAGCAGAGGCCUAAAAGACAAGGAGGACUUGUGCGGGAGAGUGUUGGGACAGGGCAAGGGAGGAGGAUGGCCUGUCAGAGGAGCUGAAAGAAUGCCCUGGAGACUGGGGCCGCCGCGUAGGGACUGUAGGGUGGGGAAGACAAAACUUUUCCAUUGAGGCUGGCGCUUUCUCUAGGUUUUUGGAGACUAAGCGUGGUGAUUCAGAACGUGGCCUCUGGAGCCAGACUCUGUCAAAUGGGUCCUGGCUCUGCCACCUACGGGCUGUGUGAACUUGGG